rnacentral:rRNA from 1 species
GACGAACGCUGGCGGCGUGCUUAACACAUGCAAGUCGAACGGAAAGGCCCUGCUUUCGUGGUGUGCUCGAGUGGCGAACGGGUGAGUAACACGUGAGUAACCUGCCCUUGACUUUGGGAUAACUUCAGGAAACUGGGGCUAAUCCUGGAUAGGAUCUCCUGCUGGAUGGUGGGGGUUGGAAAGUUUCGGCGGUUGGGGAUGGACUCGCGGCUUAUCAGCUUGUUGGUGGGGUAGUGGCUUACCCAGGCUGUGACGGGUAGCCGGCCUGAGAGGGUGACCGGCCACAUUGGGACUGAGAGACGGCGCAGACGCCUACGGGAGGCAGCAGUGGGGAAUAUGGCACAAUGGGCGGAAGCCUGAGGCAGAAACGCUGCGUGCGGGAUGACGGCCUGCGGGGAGUAAACCGCUUUCGCCUGUGACGAAGCGGGAGUGACGGUAAUGGGUAAAGAAGCACCGGCUAACUACGUG